GGGUGCUCUGAGGCCCCGCAGUGCAGGGCGCCGCCCGCGGCUCUCCGGGCUCUGAGCCACCUCUCCUGGAGGCGCCUGCGUCCGAGGCUGCUCUCUGCCGCAGUCCCUUCGCCUGGGGGUGCAGGGCGGGCGCGGGCUCCCGGGUCGGAGGCGGGAGCUCCGCUCCUGCAGUUCGGCUGUGGAGGGUUCGGCUGAGACCCAGCCGCACCGAACCCACCCGGGAGAGGCGGUCGGCGAGGGAGCCGGGAGCCCGGGGCGGGGGACUCAGGGCUGCGGGGGCCCGAGCCGGCGAAGGCGAGGCGUGUGUGUGCGCGCGCCGGCCGGCUGGGUGACAUUGUGCAUGAUUGUUGCUUUGGGAUUGCGUGUGUGGCUGUUUGCGACGACGGGAAUGGGGCUUGCGGGGCUGUGUGUGACUCUUGCCCUUGUUACUGAGUGUAUGUAGAGGGAUUGUCUUUCUAGUCCGGGUUGUGAGUGUGAUGGUACGACCGUGAAUGUGAAUCUGUGUGACUGCGUGUGACCAUUCGUCACACUGACGUUACUGACUCUGGUAAGAGUUUGGUGGCGAGGGGAAGUGGAGAUGGCCGAGCAUAUCGUCAUUCUGCUGUCUCUGGUAUUUAUAUUGGCUGGAUUGUGACAGUGUGAUAGUGCUUUUGCGGAUCUUUGAGAAUGUGGAAACAUCGUUUGUGUGGCUGUGUGUCACCAUUUGUGUUACUGACUGGGUAGGAAUUUGGCUGGGACUGGGGAGCAGCGUGUCGUCAUUUCACUGUUUCUAACGGUGGGUUUGUGGCUGUGUGGGGAUGCUCUUGUGUCUCUGUGAGGGCAACUGUGAGUGUGGUUACAUCGUGUAAGGGAUGUAGGAGUUUGGCUAAGAAGCUAGUGGGUGUGGGAGGUUCCUGUCUUCAUUUCUGGGUUUCUGGGAUCAUCUCUUUUGGGGAUCUUUGAGACUGUGAGGGAAGUUGUGAACAUUUGACCAUUGGUCAAAUUUUUUUUUAUUUUAAUUUUUUUGGUGAGGAAGAUUGGCCCUAAGCAAGCGCAGACUCAAUCACUAUGCCACUGGGUAGCCCCUGGUCAAUGUUGACUAUAGGAAUGUAACUGUCAGGGAAUGGGUGCAUUGUGUGUCUGAUUUCCGUGUUUCUGGGAUUGGUAUUAGUGCCUGUCCCUUGUUUUUCUUUCAGGGCCUAUCCCAGGUUUUUACAACAGUGCCUCCAUGGGAGCACGUCCUAUACAGUUUUUUUUUUUUUAAUUUUUUUUUUAAGAUUUUAUUUUUCCUUUUUCCUCCGAAAGCCCCCUGGUACAUAGUUGUGUAUUUUCAGUUGUGGGUCCUUCUAGCUGUGGCAUGUGGGACGCUGCCUCAGCGUGGCCUGAUGAGCAACACCGUGUCCAUGCCAAGGAUCCGAACCAGCGAAACCCUGGGCCACCGAAGUGGAGCGCCUGAACUUAGCCACUCAGCCAUGGGCCCAGCCCCGCUAUACAGUUUCCUCUUGUCUUGUUUUUCAGAGCACGGGAGUGUUUGUUUUCCUUCUCCUGAGAUGUCUUAAUCAAGACCUAUCCAGUGAUCUUUCCUCUCGGUCGUUCCUGCCUGAGGGGAUGAUGGGAGCUGCAGCGCUGAGCCUGGGCUCUCCAGGUUGCUAGCCACCAGCCAUGAGUGGCUUUCGAGCACUUGAAAUGUAACUGGUCAGCGUUGAGAUGUGCUGUAUGUGUAAAAUACACUCAGAUUUCAAGAUUUUCUUACUAGGACAAAAGAAUGUAAGAUAGCCCUUUAAUAAUUCUUUUAUAUUGAUUAUGUG
ensembl:lncRNA